rnacentral:rRNA from 1 species
ACGAACGCUGGCGGCGUGCCUAAUACAUGCAAGUAGAACGCUGAAGAGGGGAGCUUGCUCUUCUUGGAUGAGUUGCGAACGGGUGAGUAACGCGUAGGUAACCUGCCUUGUAGCGGGGGAUAACUAUUGGAAACGAUAGCUAAUACCGCAUAACAAUGGAUGACACAUGUCAUUUAUUUGAAAGGGGCAAUUGCUCCACUACAAGAUGGACCUGCGUUGUAUUAGCUAGUAGGUGAGGUAACGGCUCACCUAGGCGACGAUACAUAGCCGACCUGAGAGGGUGAUCGGCCACACUGGGACUGAGACACGGCCCAGACUCCUACGGGAGGCAGCAGUAGGGAAUCUUCGGCAAUGGGGGCAACCCUGACCGAGCAACGCCGCGUGAGUGAAGAAGGUUUUCGGAUCGUAAAGCUCUGUUGUAAGUCAAGAACGAGUGUGAGAGUGGAAAGUUCACACUGUGACGGUAGCUUACCAGAAAGGGACGGCUAACUACGUG